ACUGCGACCCAGGACACGGUUGCUAUGAUUUUGUGUGCAUUAAUUCAUGUGCAUUUCUUUAUCAGGCAACCAAUUGCACAUCCCCUUUUUAGGUGUUGUUCCAUGGGUGUAAGGUAUCUGACAGGGUCUUCAGGGCAGACAAUAGAUGGCUGAAAGCUGAGAUGUAUAGGCGUUGAGCUCACUGUUUACUUCAGCUGUGUUUACGCUUCACGUUUGUGCUUUUCCAGAUAACCCAUCCGCACACAGCUCCCCUGAUCAUUCUUAACCCGAGAAAUAUGAGCGACAAGUUAACUGCCCUGGAAUCAGGUCUUGCCCUUAUAUAUGGCACAUUUUUGAAAUAUGCAUCUAGUGAAGAAGGCGAUGAUCCCACAACAAUUAGCAAGAAGGAACUUUGUCAAAUGAUUGCUGAACAACUGCCUCACCUUGCAGGGAACGACAUGGCUGAGCAAGUGAUGAUGGAGCUGGACUCAGACCUGGACGGCACCCUGAACUUCCUGGAGUACUGUAGCUUUAUAACUUCUCUGUCCAUGAUCCUCCACAUUAUAGUCUCUGGGGAUCUUUCAUAGUAAAACAUCAAU